UACGAAGGGUGCAAGCGUUGUUCGGAUUUAUUGGGCGUAAAGCGCGCGUAGGCGGACCUGCAAGUCAGAUGUGAAAUCUCGGGGCUCAACCCCGAAACUGCGUCUGAAACUACAGGUCUAGAAUCUUGGAGGGGGAAGGGGAAUUUCGCAUGUAGGGGUAAAAUCCGUAGAUAUGCGAAGGAACACCAGAGGCGAAGGCGCCUUCCUGGACAAGUAUUGACGCUGAGGCGCGAAAGCGUGGGGAUCAAACAGGAUUAGAAA
rnacentral:rRNA from 1 species